rnacentral:tRNA from 1 species
AAGAGAGUAGCCCAAUAGGUAAGGCAGCAGUCUCCAAAACUGAAGAUUAAAGGUUCAAUUCCUUUCUCUCUUGCCA